rnacentral:rRNA from 1 species
AUGCAUGUCUAAGUUCAUAUUGCCUAUAAUGGUGAAACCGCGAACGGCUCAUUACAACAGCUAUAAUUUACUUGAUUUUGAUUCCAUACGUGGAUAACUGUGGUAAUUCUAGAGCUAAUACAUGCACCAAAGCUCCGACUACAAAUUUUGACGAGCGCAUCUAUUAGAAUCAAAACCAAUCGAGAUCGUGUCGUGGUCGUCGUGAUUUUUUGCGUACGCACACGCACACGUCAAUCUCGUCGAUUUGGUGACUCUGAAUAGCUUAGCUGAUCGCAUGGUCUUGUACCGGCGACGUAUCUAUCAAGUAUCUGCCUUAUCAACUUUCGAUGGUAGUUUAUGUGACUACCAUGGUUGUAACGGGUAACGGAGAAUAAGGGUUCGACUCCGGAGAGGGAGCCUGAGAAACGGCUACCACUUCCAAGGAAGGCAGCAGGCGCGCAAAUUACCCACUCUCAGCACAGAGGAGGUAGUGACGAAAAAUAACGAGACCGUACUCGAUGAGGCCGGUUAUCGGAAUGGGCACAAUUUAAACCCGUUAACGAGGAUCUAUGAGAGGGCAAGUCUGGUGCCAGCAGCCGCGGUAAUUCCAGCUCUCAAAGUGUAUAUCGGCAUUGCUGCGGUUAAAAAGCUCGUAGUUGGAUUUCAGCCUUACGACGUGGUCCAUUCAUUGAAUGCGAACUACGCCUCGUAGGCUAUUUGAAUGUUGGUUUUUCCUUGCUUGGCUCUCAACGGCUGAGUAAGGUGGCUGACGAGUUUACCUUGAAAAAAUUAGAGUGCUCAACGCGGGCUAUUACGCCUGAAUACUCGUGCAUGGAAUAAUGGAAUACGACUUCUGGUCUAUUUUGUUGGUUUUCUGAUCGGAGAUAAUGGUUAAGAGGGACAGACGGGGGCAUUCGUAUCGCUGCGUGAGAGGUGAAAUUCUUGGACCGUAGCGAGACGUCCCACUGCGAAAGCAUUUGCCAAGAAUG